UAGUAACGGCGAGUGAAGAGGGAAAAGCUCAAAUUUUGAAUCUGGUGUCUUUGGCGCCCGAGUUGUAAUCUAGAGAAGUGUUUUCUGCCUCGGACCACACAUAAAUUCCCUGGAAUGGGGUGUCAUAGAGGGUGAGAAUCCCGUUUGUGGUGUGGACUACCUUGGCUCUGUGAUACACUCUCGACGAGUCGAGUUGUUUGGGAAUGCAGCUCAAAAUGGGUGGUAAAUUCCAUCUAAAGCUAAAUAUUGGCGAGAGACCGAUAGCGAACAAGUACCGUGAGGGAAAGAUGAAAAGCACUUUGGAAAGAGAGUGAAACAGUACGUGAAAUUGUUGAAAGGGAAGCGUUUGAAGUCAGUCACAUCGGUCGGAAUUCAGCCUGGCUUUGCCUGGUGUACUUUUUGGCAGAUGGGUCAGCGUCAAUUUUGACUGAGGGAAAAAGACUUGAGGAAUGUGGCUGUCUUCGGGCAGUGUUAUAGCCUCUUGUUGUAUGUCUCAGUUGGGAUUGAGGACCGCAGCACGCCUUAUGGCCGGGGUUCGCGCCCUCGGAACGUGCUUAGGA
rnacentral:rRNA from 1 species